GAAGGCCCUUCGGGGUACUCGAGCGGCGAACGGGUGAGUAACACGUGAGUAACCUGCCCCUGACUCUGGGAUAAGCCCGGGAAACUGGGUCUAAUACCGGAUACGACCACUUCCCGCAUGGGAUGGUGGUGGAAAGUUUUUUCGGUUGGGGAUGGACUCGCGGCCUAUCAGCUUGUUGGUGGGGUAACGGCCUACCAAGGCGACGACGGGUAGCCGGCCUGAGAGGGCGACCGGCCACACUGGGACUGAGACACGGCCCAGACUCCUACGGGAGGCAGCAGUGGGGAAUAUUGCGCAAUGGGCGAAAGCCUGACGCAGCGACGCCGCGUGGGGGAUGACGGCCUUCGGGUUGUAAACCUCUUUCAGCAGGGACGAAGUUGACGUGUACCUGCAGAAGAAGCGCCGGCUAACUACGUGCCAGCAGCCGCGGUAAUACGUAGGGCGCAAGCGUUGUCCGGAAUUAUUGGGCGUAAAGAGCUCGUAGGUGGCUUGUCACGUCGGGUGUGAAAGCUUGGGGCUUAACUCCAGGUCUGCAUUCGAUACGGGCUGGCUAGAGGUAGGUAGGGGAGAACGGAAUUCCUGGUGUAGCGGUGAAAUGCGCAGAUAUCAGGAGGAACACCGGUGGCGAAGGCGGUUCUCUGGGCCUUACCUGACGCUGAGGAGCGAAAGCGUGGGGAGCGAACAGGAUUAGAUACCCUGGUAGUCCACGCUGUAAACGUUGGGCGCUAGGUGUGGGGACCUUCCACGGUUUCCGCGCCGUAGCUAACGCAUUAAGCGCCCCGCCUGGGGAGUACGGCCGCAAGGCUAAAACUCAAAGGAAUUGACGGGGGCCCGCACAAGCGGCGGAGCAUGUUGCUUAAUUCGACGCAACGCGAAGAACCUUACCAAGGCUUGACAUCGCCCGGGAAACACUCAGAGAUGGGUGCCCUCUUCGGAUCGGGUGACAGGUGGUGCAUGGCCUGUCGUC
rnacentral:rRNA from 1 species